AUUGAACGCUGGCGGCGUGCUUAACACAUGCAAGUCGUGCGGUAACAGGCGUAGCAAUACGUGCUGACGAGCGGCGAACGGGUGCGUAAUACACGGGAAGUCUGCCCUUUACGUGGGGAAGUAACCCGGCGAAAGACCGGGCUAAUGCCGCAUAAGAUCUUCGGAUGAAAGCGGGGGAGUCGUAAGACCUCGCGCUGAUGGAUGAGCCCAUGUCGGAUUAGCAGUUGGUGAGGUAACGGCUCACCAAGGCGACGAUCCGUAGCUGGUCUGAGAGGACGGCCAGCCACACUGGGACUGAGACACGGCCCAGACUCCUACGGGAGGCAGCAGUGGGGAAUAUUGGACAAUGGGCGAAAGCCUGAUCCAGCGACGCCGCGUGUGUGAAGAAGGCCU
rnacentral:rRNA from 1 species